UGAACAGGGCAGAGGUUGGAGGUGGAU
rnacentral:piRNA from 1 species